UACGUAGGGGGCAAGCGUUGUCCGGAUUUAUUGGGCGUAAAGAGCGUGUAGGCGGCCGUACAGGUCAGCUGUGAAAACUCGAGGCUCAACCUCGAGACGUCGGUUGAAACCGUACGGCUAGAGUCCGGAAGAGGAGAGUGGAAUUCCCGGUGUAGCGGUGAAAUGCGCAGAUAUCGGGAAGAACACCCGUGGCGAAGGCGGCUCUCUGGGACGGUACUGACGCUGAUGCACGAAAGCUAGGGGAGCAAACAGG
rnacentral:rRNA from 1 species